CCUACGGGAGGCAGCAGUGAGGAAUAUUGGUCAAUGGACGAAGGUCUGAACCAGCCAAGUAGCGUGAAGGAUGACUGCCUUAUGGGUUGUAAACUUCUUUUAUAUGGGAAUAAAGUUCUCCACGUGUGGAGUUUUGUAUGUACCAUUAUGAAUAAGCAUCGGCUAACUCCGUGCCAGCAGCCGCGGUAAUACGGAGGAUGCGAGCGUUAUCCGGAUUUAUUGGGUUUAAAGGGAGCGUAGGUGGACUGGUAAGUCAGUUGUGAAAGUUUGCGGCUCAACCGUAAAAUUGCAGUUGAUACUGUCAGUCUUGAGUACAGUAGAGGUGGGCGGAAUUCGUGGUGUAGCGGUGAAAUGCUUAGAUAUCACGAAGAACUCCGAUUGCGAAGGCAGCUCACUAGACUGCAACUGACACUGAGGCUCGAAAGUGUGGGUAUCAAACAGGAUUAGAUACCCUGGUAGUCCACACAGUAAACGAUGAAUACUCGCUGUUUGCGAUAUACAGUAAGCGGCCAAGCGAAAGCGUUAAGUAUUCCACCUGGGGAGUACGCCGGCAACGGUGAAACUCAAAGGAAUUGACGG
rnacentral:rRNA from 1 species